CCCUGGACCUGCUCCGUCCACACUGGCCCAGGUGAGAGUCAUGACCCUGGACCUGCUCCGUCCACACUGGCCCAGGUGAACUCCAUGACCCUGGACCUGCUCCGUCCACACUGGCCCAGGUGAACUCCAUGACCCUGGACCUGCUCCGUCCACACUGGCCCGGGAGCACCAUGACCCUGGACCUGCUCCGUCCACACUGGCCCAGGCCGACGGGGAACGGGGUCCAAGCCGCCCCGUCUCCCAGCAACUCGCUUCUCAUUCGGAGCCCGGGACUCAGUGUCUCCGAGAAGGAAGAAAAUUGUUGGCGGCUGGAAUGGGAACCCGGGACCCCCUGGUCCACACUCGCCCCACCGCCCGCCACGCUGAGUCCUACCCGACUGACCCCAGGGCCCGGGAGCCAAGAGCCGCCAGGGGGCCUCCGCUCCUGGCCUCUCGCCUGACCCCGGACAGCUGACCCCUCCCCGGUCCCCCACCUUCGACCCCUGUGCAGACCUUAUCAGAACCUUUGCCCUGACCUCCGGCUGAUUCUGAGCACGGCCCCCAGCCCUGGCCUCGGGGAAUCCUCGGGCCCCGUGGAGCCCGGAGCGAGUUCCCUGCCCCUCUGACCCCUCCCGUCUCCCGCCAGAACCGGGUCUCCACCCUCGGGCGGCCGUCUUGUCCCCGCGAGGCCCUGUGGUCCUCCGGUCAGCACCCGACGUCCGCUUCUGGAGACCGGAGCCCACCCAGGGCUGUUUGCAAAGGGCGCCGGGCCGGGGGUCAGAUCUGCAGACGAGAACAGACAGGGUGAGACCAUCCUGCUGCCCGGGGCAGGGCUGCUGCGUGGGGGGCGUCUGCCUCGACCCCCCGCCAUCCCUCCGCUGUGUCUGUCUGCUCUCUACGACCCCCGUGGAUGAUGCACGUGUAAUAAUAUAUACAGCAAACACAUCACACUCUGUCUACACAUCUAAACACCUAAGUGCAUGCAAAUUUAUGUAAAUGCAUGCAGAAAUGUGUGCACACUAUAGACGUGUGUCUGCAAAUUUAUACCCUAUAUAUGAGCAUAUAAAUACGUGUGUCUGUCAAUUUAUAUCCCAUAUGUGAGCAUAUAAGUCUGUGUGUCUGUAAAUUUAUACCCUAUAUAUGAAUACGUGUCUCUAAAUUUAUAUCCCAUAUAUGAGCAUAUAAAUACAUGUGUCUGUCAAUUUAUAUCCCAUAUAUGAGCAUAUAAAUAUGUCUCUAAAUUUAUAUCCCAUAUAUGAGCAUAUAAGUCUGUGUGUCUGUAAAUUUAUACCCUAUAUAUGAAUACGUGUCUCUAAUUUAUAUCCCAUAUAUGAGCAUAUAAAUACGUGAAAUACAUAAAUCCAUGUGUGUGUAUAACAUGUCUGUCUCUCGUCUCUCCGACCCCCGUGUAUGAUGCACGUAUAAUAUGUAUGUACAACAAACACCUCACACUCUGUCUAC
rnacentral:lncRNA from 1 species